rfam:Oryza sativa (indica cultivar-group) chromosome 10, whole genome shotgun sequence.
AAUAAGUGUAGGCAUGAGUUUCCGCGUCUAACUUUGACCGUCCGUCUUAUUUAAAAAAUUUUUAUAAUUAGUAUUUUUGUUGAUAUAAGAUGAUAAAACAUGAAUAGUAUUUUACUUAUGACUUAUGUUUUUAGUUUUUUUUAAAAAAAAUUUUCAUAUAAGACGAAUGGUCAAAAUUGGGCGCGAAAAACCAUGGGUGCACUUAUU